GGCAUUUAGCAGUGGCAGUAUCAUAGCCAAUGAGGUUAAUCCGAGGCAUGAUUAUUGCUAGUUGAAAACUUUUCCCCACCCAUGGAAUAUAAGAUUAUUUUACAGUAUUUUAGAUUAUUUCUCCAGGUUGAAU
rnacentral:snRNA from 1 species